GACGAACGCUGGCGGCGUGCUUAACACAUGCAAGUCGAACGGGCCUUGUCCCCUUUUUUUUGGGGGUGGGGUUAGUGGCGAACGGGUGAGUAACACGUGAGUAACCUGCCCCUCACUUCUGGAUAACCGCUUGAAAGGGUGGCUAAUACGGGGUGUUCUGGCCUGCUCGCAUGGGUGGGUUUGGAAAGAUUCGACCGGUUUUGGUUGUUUUGGUGGGGGAUGGGCUCGCGGCCUAUCAGCUUGUUGGUGGGGUGAUGGCCUGCCAAGGCUUUGAUGGGUAGCCGGCCUGAGAGGGUGGGCGGUCACACUGGGACUGAGACACGGCCCAGACUCCUACGGGAGGCAGCAGUGGGGAAUAUUGCACAAUGGGCGCAAGCCUGAUGCAGCGACGCCGCGUGAGGGAUGGAGGCCUUCGGGUUGUGAACCUCUUUCGCCAGUGAAGAAGGUCCUGCUCUUUGUGGUGGGGUUGACGGUAGCUGGGUUAAUGAAGCGCCGGCUAACUACGUG
rnacentral:rRNA from 1 species